UGGCAAUGAUGACCAUCUUAGGACACCUUUAGAAUAAUAAUGAAAACAAUACUAUUACUCUGAGCUUC